CACUUUACUUUACCCAUUCUUCAAUCAAUUUUUUAUACAUAGUAGUAUAAUAAGAUUUUGAUUAAUUGGUUGAUUAGGCACGUUAUUAUAUUAAUUAACUUAAAAUGUAGGUAAAAGUGUGUGACAAAACAACGGUUGGUAAUGACUCAUACAACUUGUAGUUGUAAGCUCCACUCGCUUUUACAUGUACAAAUCAUUGACUUAAUUUGAGAGGCUUGGAUUCACAUCUUGAAUUUAUUCUCAAUUCUUUUCUUUGACAAUUGAUUCUCGAUCAAUAGUACUAAAGUGGAAGUUUGGAAUAUUACAUUAAGAAGUCAAAGUUGGUAUACCUAUAGACCCACCUUUCCACAUCUAUUGGGGUUUUCACAUUUAUAAUCACUUGUCUAUUUUAAUUCCAAUAAAUAGGGAUUUUUUUUCUUUUCUUGUUGUUAUUCGAUAUCUGGUUUAAGGACGGAUUAACUUAAGAGAUAUUAUUUCUACUAUUUUAAAAAAUAUAAAUAUAAAAAAAAAAUGUAUCAUCUUAAUUAACAUUUCAUCUUCUCUCUAUCGUCACAAUUAUUAAUUUCUACAAUCUC
rnacentral:lncRNA from 1 species